GUUAGUGAGAGUCUGAGGACUGCUUUGUCUCUUCUCAAUAGAUCUCUGACAGAGUGGCAGCCAGUGGAAAAUUAGGGAGUGGACCAGGGCACAAGGAGAAAAGUCUUGGCAAAGAGCUCCUUGCAAAGAAGCAGAAUUGAGGCCUGAACCCCAAAAGCUUACGCACCAUUUCAUACUGCCAUCCAGAAACUGGUAAUAAUGGCAAGUCAGAAAAGGAAACAUUGGGCUCUGGGUCUGUUCAACCUAUUCAGCUACCAAAGUUCUCACUGAACUUUACUCAGCAGCCACGAUUUCAAUCUCAUCCACUCUGAUUUUAUGCCUAUUUAUCUCUUCCAAGUUCCAUUGUGCCAGUUAUGAUUGACACUUCCAUAAUCUGAAGAAAAUUCAGGCCAGUGAAGAUGCAAGAUAUGCUAAAACAGCACUGGCUUUUGCCUCUCAUUUUUCUGUUCUGUAUUCAACAAGUCAGCCACAAACUUGUUUACUAAUAAUCACAUUGCUUUGACAUGCUUUACUUUAUUCGGAUCACAUCACUACAUGGCAUGUGCAUUGAAUGUUACAUCUGUAAAGUAUAAGAAUUACUGCAGGUUGCCAAGUUCCAGUUUAGAAAGAGAGAUGAAAUGGCUGUCAAAUGUGCUUAGCAUUAAAAAUACAUUAUUAACACAGCCAUUUACAUAGACUGGUGGAUCAUUUUUGAAAUCUACAUAUUCUAGUUAAUUCUAUUAUCCUGUUAUUUUAACCAAAAAGUUUCAGAAAGUAAUACUGUGUAUUGUGAUGCUUUGAUAGAAUAAUGGCAAUGUUUUCUAUUUAAACCAAGAACUUUUUUUUUUAUUGUUUUACCAGAUUCCGGUAGGAUACUUAGAAGAUAAAUAGAGCCAAAACAUUCCUAGGAUCUGCCAUCUGUAUUUCUCUUUGGAGAUAAUAGAUUCUUAUUCUUUCUAUAACUGCAUACAUACAAGUGCAAUCUAGGAGGUGAAAGAAACAAAUGAAAGACAGAUAUUUAAGCCCCUUAGGUCACAAAGAUUUACACUUUUACACAUUAUAUUGUCUUGGAGAUCUAUUAUGUCUAAUGAUAUAUCUCAAGGAGAUUCAGUGAAAUUUAUUCUACUUUUGGUAGCUGAUGGAAGAGUUUCAAGGAUCCUAUGUUCCUCACCUUCCUCAAUUCUCACUUCAGUGAUAAAAGUUCAGAGUUUUCAAGAAAAUUAAUACAAUCACAGAUGUUUGAAGUGAAUUCCUUUCUGGACUUUAAACUAUGAAUAUAACAUUAAAAAGAAGGUAAUAAAAGUAG
rnacentral:lncRNA from 7 species